GUCGCGGUGGGUGAGGCCGCUCACGGGGGUGCCGUUCACCUCCAGCAGCACGUCCCCGGGGCUAGGGGGCUUGCCGGAGAGCAGCACCGGGCCGGGCCCGCCGAGCUCGCCCAGCAGCAGGCGGCCCCCCAGGUACCCAUAAGGACAUGGCAACAUUUCAGCACCAACAGCCUUUAUUCAAGACUAAUGUUCUCAACAAACCUGUCUCUUUAGGGUUCCCGUAUCUUAUACUUCAUGCAUUCUACAGGAACUGAAUUCAGGAAAGCUAUACUACUGUAAUGAAAACUUUGAAGUCUAUUCAGAGAACUGGCUGACAAAUUUAAUUCUAAUUUAUACCAUGCUGACAUUAAAAAGAAGAUGAACUAAGAUUACUUGUCAAAAUGAAUGAAGGAGAAGCCCAAGCAAAUACCCCUCAGCCAUUCAUUCUGGGCCACACAUUAAAUGUCUGAAAUUUGACGAGAUGAUAAGAUACUUUUGGAAGCUGAUAGAUACCAAGCAAAGAUAAAGGCCCAGUCAGCCAAUGAACUCCUGAAGCCAAGGUGGACAUAAAGGCACGUGUAGAAGCCACGUGACUUAAAAUAUGGUCAAAAUGUGUUCAAGUAAUUCAUAUUUGUGAUGUAGAUGAGGCACCUUUCUCCAGGGAGGCACGUCAGUCUACCAGACAGGACACUGGACUUGGACUCGGACUCAGGAAGGCUGGAUUCAACUCCUUGCUCAGUGCUAUGCUUCCUAUCUUGCAGGGCAAAAAUGCAGCUGGAAACCUACGGCAGCUCACUGAUUGAGGGGAGUUUCCAUUAAAAGCGGCAAAGGUAAAUGAAUGGAGGAGGGAAGAUUCGAAAUGAAGAUGUAGGAUGUCUGUGUAGGUUCCACCACAGUGUUUGGCUGAGCAAUGAACCUUCUUUAGACAUAGGAUUUACCCUAGUAAUUCGGAUCUGUUCGAUCCACAAUCCAGAAGUAGCUUUGCAGCUUAUCGAGUGGGAUUUUCCAUUCUUAGACUUGCAUCCUUUCUCCAGCUAAAUUGCCCCAUGUACUUUUUAUUUUAAAAAUAAUGAUGCUAAUGACAA